UGCCUAGUAGCAAAAUGGUUAGUGCAUCUCUCCAUGCUAGCAGUUGUAGAUGCCACCUGCACAGAGGACCUCUGUUCGAAUCAGAGUUGGGCCA